rnacentral:lncRNA from 1 species
UUAAUGCCACGUCACUAUCACUAAAAUAAUAAUAAUAAUAAAAAUAAUAAUAAUAAGAAAUUUUUUUUUUAAAUACAAUCGAUGUGGUUUCACACUUUUUCACUUUAGUAUUCUGUAGUUUAAAGUAUAUCAAUUUAUAUUCUAUAGUUUUAUUUUAUCUUUUUAUUAACGAUUUCACUAAUUUUUUUUGAUUUAUCAGUGACAAAGUUAAAAUUAAAGGAUACUAAAAUAAAUAUUCGAUAAAUCUAGGUGAGUUAUUUGAAGUUUUUUAUAUAUAAUUUAACAAAAUAAUAACGGAAAAGCUGACGAAAAGAUAAAAAUAAAACCAUCGGAUACUAACUUGAUACAUUUUAAAGCACAUAGUACUAAAGUAGAAAACUGGAAAACCACAUGGGCGGUAUUUGAAAUUUACCCUAACAAGAAUAUAAGGGUAAAUUAUACCUUCGGUCCUCAAGAUGCAUCAUAUUUUGGCUCUUAACUUUUAAUAUAUUAUAAUUUUGGGCUUAAAUUUUUUGAAUUGUUACAAUCAGGUUCAAUAACACAAUUUAAUUCGCUUAAAUAUUGAUAAAUAAUUAAUAUAUAUAAAAAUAUUAUAAUUGAUGAUGUGAUAAUAAUUAAUAUCUUAUGCCACUAUACAUCAGCAAUCUAUCAUUAUUUAUCUAACUAAAUUAGGCUGUGUGAUUUAAUUGUAAUAAUUUAAAAAAUUUGAGUCAGAUAUUAUAAUAAAUUAAAAUUUAAGAAUUUAAAAUAUCGCAUAUCUCAUAGUUUCAGGACCAAAGAUCUAAUUUACCUUAAUAAUCUAUGACUAUCUAUAACUAUAUAUUAUUCCUCAAUAACUGCACACGUGUCGCGAGGAGGCCGCGUGCGCUGGCGCGGGCCGAGUCGCGAGCAGGAGCGGGCGUGGCGCGGGGUGGGCGCUGGCGCGGGCACGGGCGUGGGCGCUGACUCGUGGGCGGGCUCUGGCGCUGGCGUCGUGG